AACGCAUAUUGCGCUCUGUUUCGGCAGAGCAUGCCUGUUUGAGAAUCUAUUGUAUUCAUUUGCAGCUUUUAAGCUGCGAGAACUGAGGCGUGGUGCGUGCAUCUGCCUUUAAAGCGAUAUGUGGCCCAGCUAUUAUCUAGCGCGGCUAAAGUAUUGACUGGAACCUCUGGUUUCUACAAUUACUUGCGCUGUGCUUGCUCUGGUAGGGAAAGCUGCCAAUCAGAGGGUGUUUCGGCACCUGAACCAUGGUCUCAAAUCAGGUAGGAGGACCCGCUGAACUUAA
rnacentral:misc_RNA from 1 species